AAUUCUGGGGCUAGUGGAUGACUCCACCAAAGAAUCCAAGAUUGCUUGUUCAGUGUUCCAGUCCCUACCUUUUGCUGUGUCAAGGCUGGAUACGUUUCUAGUGUAUGGGAGAGUGAUGGUCUAAAGUAGAAAUAAAAGAGACUUUUAGCCACUAAGCCCUAAUAUUAAGAUCGUUGUAUGAAAGUGGAAGUAUUUUAGCGUAAUCAAUUGCAAGGCCAACUUCUCCCAUCUUCAUUUGCUUGGGGAAAGAUUUCGGGGAUUGUGGUCUUAAUUCCAGUUGAAACUGCUCCUUCAUGUCUAGAGGGGCUGGAUUUUGACAGUUCUCUUUCCGCUUUUUCAGAAACCUUAUUUUUAUUUUAUGAUAGUUCUAACAACAUCUGCAACCAUGCAAAAGAAUAAACGUGAUUAUUGUGUGUUACUAGAACAUACUAGUAUUUAAUACGACUUUCCUCUUCCCAGCUGCAAGCAAGGGGGAGAAAACUGUCUCAUAUAAUUUUGUUUAGUUGUCUAAUUUAUUUAUUUAGUUUUACAAUAAUCUGCAUUCUUUUGAAGAGUGAAGAUUCAUGUGAUCAUAAUUGUACCCUGGGGUCACUAAUUCAGGUACCUAAGGGGAUCAGGCUGCUGUAGUGAAUUGAAAUAUGGGAAUUAGAUGCCCUGUGUUGGACCACAGGCUGCUGUGCCAUCCAUUGGGUGCUGGCAUCUGUUUUCUUCUCUAAGGUCCCUUUUUUCUCUGAAUGUUGAAUAUUAUCAACACGAGCUGUAGGCCAGAGGGCAAGCAGUUAAGCUGGGAUAACAAGGAGCUUUUGGGAGCACCACUGCCUACACAGCAAUUUUGAAGCUUUUCUUUUUUAAAUGCAGGUUUCAGGACAAUCUCCUGCCAUCUCAAUUUACUCCUGAGUACGAGGAUUCUAAUGAAGUCACCAUGGGUGAUGAGGCUCAGCGCCGUGGUCCUCUCUUGCAGGGACCGCUUCUGCUGCCUGGUUGUUAGCUGUGCGACUGCUGUCUUUGUCUUUGGGAUCUGCAGGGAAAGGCGCUCCAAGAAGGAGGCUCUGAUUAUUAUGAAAUGCUGAUGGCACUGCUAUUAGAAGUUGGGGACAAGGAGACUGAAUUGGAAGAGAAUUAGAAAAGAUGUUGAGCUGCGCUUGAGAUGCCACUUGAGCGACUCUCAAGGUGCUGGCGAGCAUCACGAGGUUAAUAGGUUUUCCCAUGUAUCUGGAGUCCAGGCUCGUCGGGUUUUCCUGGAUGAUCUGGGGGUCCCCAAGGACCAUAGCCACUAAAGGAUCAGCCCCAGUGGUGGGAUUGUAUUUCAACUCAGUCAGCACCUGAUAAUCACUAGUGUAUACUCACUGUAGAUGCCGGACACUCAAAAACAAAUGAGCCCUGGUCACUGCAGUCACUGUGCUUGGCAGACGGACACAUAAACAGAUCUCUUAAAGGAUGAGCAGCAAGUUGCUGGGUUC
rnacentral:lncRNA from 1 species